UCCCGAGGGCCGCGAGCGGCAGAGGCCCCGGGUUCCAGCACAAAGCCCCCGCCUGGGAGCAGGUGGGAGUGCUUCCGGCUGCUUUGCCAGGUCUGUGGCUGGAGGAGCCAGCAACUCGCCCUCCCCUCUGGCCUCCCCCGCCCUGAGCGGAAAUGGCCAAGAGAGGCUGCGAACGCCUGGCGUCCUGCCCGGGCGGAGGCGGGGGAGCCCGGGGAGGCCUGGGUCGUGGGCCACACACCGUGUGGUGGCCCCGUGCUGGGAGCAUGGCCUCCCGCUCUGCCUCAGGGGCUCUGCAGACAGACCUUACCCUCUGGAGAGGGACAAGCACCUCUCCACGUGUGAGGGGCUCUCCUGGCUGGGUGGGAGGAAGACGAUGCAUUCUCGGAAGGCCCUUCAGUGGGGGCACCUGGGCCCUGGCGACCCAGCCCGUCCUGACGGCCUCACCUGCCCCUCCCACCUCCCCUCGGGCUCCUGAUGAAAACAACUCUGAUGACGACGUUUGUGGUAAAGUAGGUGCUCAGACUCCACGAGAACGUCCCAUGAGAAAACAUCAUGUGUCUACUGGAACCGUGUGCUUCCGUGCCGGCCGGGGACUCAGUCUCGUGUGGCCAGGGCUCCUCGGGGCAGGGCUGGGUGGGGCAGGAGGGGAAGGACAGCUCCCCCUGUGGCAGCUCUGGGGACACCCUGAGAGGAGGCUGAGGGGCUGUGGGCACCUCUGACACAGUCACGUCCGUUUGGUCACUGGCGGGGGACUUGGGUGACAGGUGAGCAGGAGACGUGGGAGCGGGGCUCUGAGCCUUGAGGCCAGGGCGAGGGCAGGGCGUGCAGAGAGGAGGCUGCGGGAGGGGUGGAGGCCAGCAGGGCGGGCCGAGGCCCAGGGUGACGCUCCGCCCUCUCCCCUCUGCAAAGGGUCACUGUCCCCAGGGCUGGCUGAAGGCCGCCUGCCCCCAGAGUCCUGUCCUCUUCCCAUGGGCGAGCUGGGCCUGUCCCCUGCUAAUGGGGCCUCACUGUGGACGUGGGCUUCCGGCCCGGGAUGGACAGGCCGUCCCGGAUCCGAGCACCGACUCAGCCCGGGCCACAGCCCGGCCGCCAGCGCCCCUGUGGCUCCUGUCAGGGGCAGUCGUGUCCAGGGGCGCCUCCUUCCUCGGGUCUGGCCGCCGAGCAGGGCCGGCCGGGUUUCACUGAGCAGCUCUGCCGCUCACCGCCUGCUUCCCGGGGGAGGGCCUUGUCCCUGCAGGACGGCUGGCGGACACGGGGCUCCCGGCGUGUCACGGGCGGACUGCAAGCCCCCUCCCUGGGCUUGGGGCCCGAGGGCGAAGCCCCACAAGCCCCAGCCACGGAGCAAGUCCACACUGUGAGCUGCGGGCCCGGAGGGCUCCACAGCAGGGACCGGUCCCCCCAAACCCGCAUGCUGCCUGUUGGAGAUGAAAUUUCAUCUCACCACUUGGGCACGGCCACUUGGCAGAGACCACAGCAUCCGCUAAGCCCAAGACGUUUACAGCGUGGCCCUCGACGGAGAACGUCUGACUGGGCCUGUUUGGCCGCGAGCAUGUUGUUCCCAGCGGACGCGGUGACGCGGGAGGCCUGGGAACCCGCUUCCAGGACGGGCGGCCCGUGGGCGGCCGUCACGGGCACCAACACUGCUCCAGCCGCCCGUGUGCAGGGAAUACAGCGUCUCCUUAAACGUCCAUCUCGAGAAAACAUUUACCUUCUGUCCUAUCUGUCCAUCUUAGAGUUUAUUUAAACUUAUUUCUGGGAUGGUUGAAUGUCCAUGAGGGAAAACGGAGCGUCUUUGUCCAGGUGGUUUUUGUAUUCUGUCUACAUCACGGACAUCAAUUUCGAAUGUAAUGCAGUGAAAUGGGUUCAAAACUUUGCCUAUUUUCUAAAUUACAUCUUACUUUGGGCGUGUGUGGGGGAGGUCGGAGCCCGUAUAAAAUUCUCAGAAAGAUUUGCUACUUUUAAAAAUGUGUUUGGUAGUGAGUCCCUGGGUCAAGCAGCAAGGCCGCGCGUUUCUGCCGCCCGUGGGGGGUGUUGCUGGGAGCCGAGGCUUCGGGGGGGUGGGGGGCACCGCGGGGCCCUCUGUUCACCGGACCCCGCGUCCCAGCUCCUGGACGUCCUUGUUCUGACCUCCAGCUUCAGGCCCGGCGUCCUCCGCCCUCACCCACGUGGUUUCCGAGCACCGUGGCUCUCGAAGGCCAGAAAGGUGACGGGGCCUCGCCGGCCGCGGCGUUGAUGACGGACGUGACGCUGCCGCCCACAUUCUUCUGAAAAAGCAUCUCCCCCGGGAGCGAGCUGCUUCCUUGGCUCCGAAACAGAACCUCCACGUGGGGAGUCCGGAUGUGCUCACUGCGUCCUGCUUCAUGGGAAUUUCCCUUCCCAAGGGCUUUUCGGGAAGACGUUUUCCUCAUGUUCCAGACCGCAAGCUUUGGGAAGACGGGAUGCUGUCCAGGGGGCCGGCUUACUCCUCGGGGCUCUGGGGAAGUGGCGGCCCUCGGCCAGUGUGGUGCUGGGACCCCAAACUCCCCCUGCCCUCUGUGCCGUUUCCCCUGUGACAGCUUGCUCUGAGGCGUCUCGGCAGUCAUUUCUACAUUAGCGAGAGUCAGGGCUCGGACGUCCAGCCUCGAGCAUGCGCCCCCCUCUUGUGACGGCAGGUGCCUUGUCCUGGUGCUUCUUUGCUGUCCUCAGACAAAUCUGACCGAUCAAAGAGCUUAUCCACACAUGCAACUGACAAAGCAGCAUAGCGUCCCAGUGUGAUAUAAAGAAAAUUAUGUAGUAUGUAAUUUAACAUGAGGAAGAUUGUCCCCAACCACCCAUGAGACUACUGCAGUUUGAGUGUUUGCUAAUGAAGUAAUUAAGGCUGAAAAUAAGUAAAACAAAAUCAACUGAAUGUUGUGGAUGCUCUGUUAUGUAUAUUUCCCCUCUUGAAAGGAGGGAAAAACAAGUAUAUUAUAAAAGUACACAGAACCCCAGCAAACGCCGUCCCCCCGGGCACGAACGUCUGGGAUACGUGGCCCAAAAGCUUUGAGCAGAGUUUUGAGCGGUCUAGCGCUCCCUGGAAAAGAGGAUGAAGACGUUCUGGAGAAACAGCGUCCUGAUGUGCAUACUGAGCGCGACCCUGAAGCUCCGAGCAAUUCAAUUUGUGCAGAAAAUUCUGUUGUGUUUGGAUGAACUGCAUCCCUGGAGCUGGGGUCCGGCGGGGCGACCUGAGCCUGGAGCAGCCGGGACAGGCCCACCGCCGCCAUUUCCGUCCCGGUGCUUGUGUGAUUCAGGCCUGCCGAAUUCCCACGCGCCCACUGUGGGGGCCUUCUCCUGAGAGAAACUGUUCUAGCACUUCUUUAUGGAACCCACUGGAAAGACAGCCUGCCCCCAGCCCCGCCACGGUCCCCUGACUGCAUUCAUUCGCUACCGCAUCCAACACUUACACCCUGUGGUCCAGGCAGCGACACUUGGUGCAGGGAUGAGUCCAACGCUCUGAGGGCCAACCUCUCUGGUUGUACAAGCCAGGCUGCACAUCCCAGAGUCCGUGCAGAUCCACUCAGCUCUUGCCAACUCCACCUGCUCCUACAGACGCCUCCCUGGCUGUCAGUACCCUCCCGAUGAAAUACCCCCACGCCAGCCCCAAGCCACCAACGGGAAGCUGGGCACCCUGCGGUCAGGACGGGGACAGCCCAGCACCCCGCGGUCAGGACGGGGACGGCUGGGUCCUGGGCACCCCGUGGUCAGGACGGGGGAGGCCUCACCUGUUGGAUCUGUGCACAGCGGGGCGGAUAUCAUAGAGGACAGGGCCGUGCAGACAUCUGCUGGCUUUGCCUGAGUCCUUGGCCCAAAUGAAGGUGCGCGAUGUCCCUGCUCACAGGCCUGGGCGACUCGUCCACGGUGGAGCCGGAACCCGUCAUUUCUUCUUCUCUCACUGGGGAGAGGCCGGUUCACGAGGACAGUGGUGGGCGGUUUAGGGACUCGUCCCCAGCAAAUCUGGGCUUGCAGCUUGGCUCUCACCCUCCAGCAUCACAAACUCAAACUUGAAGGCCCUGGGGUGGGGGGCAGGCAGGACGGCCCCACGCCCACCUUCUGGUCCCCACCUCGAGCGUGGGGGGACCUGUGACCUGCUUCUACUCAGUGACAUACGGCGCGGGGAGGGCCCUGUGACCAUGCGGCCCCACGGACACCAGUCUGCAGACGCGCUGUCACUCCCCUUGUCAGCACAGCCCGGCUGUGACCCGCCUCAGGAGCGGGACUCGCCUAGCCGUCGGCAUGCUCUGGCUGGCCACAGAAACAAGCACAGACAAAAAAAACCAACCCAGACAAAAAAUCCCACAUAACCAAUGGACACACACCAAAACUCCAGAAAGUCAACCCUUUUUCUCCGGAACCUGAAACUGCUCUCGGUCCUACCCCCACAAGGAAAUGAAUCCGGCCAAAAAUCUUACUGCUGGGGGCUGGGGAUCCACCUCCCACCUGCCCCCCUCCUCCGGCGUGGCCUCCCCCAGCCCGGCCCCCGAUGGGAGCUGCCUGCCCCUCAAGCACAGGGCCCCGGCGCUGUGCCUGGUGUCUUGACCCACACCCUGCGGGUAACCCCAGGCCUUGGGCUAGAGCCUUGAGUCAGACCAAAGGUUAUUCCAUGACCGCACUAAGGAUGUCUAGGGACAAAUCCGUCUCCAUUUCCUGGCAGACACGGACGGUUUAGAGAAGUGGGUGGCAUUGAUUCCUUGCAUGGAGACCAGGUUUGAUCAACCUGUGUUUCCCUCGCGCUCCUGUUCAGUGUGAGUUGUUCUCGGAAGCAACGUCCGAACCAGGCUUUGCUCGAGAAGAGCAAGCGUGCCCAUCUCUGGACUCUGCCUCAAGAUUAAGUUAAUUACCGAGAUCGGUGGUUGGAGGCUGCUCACCUGAGAGACGUCCUGCUCAGUCCUGAAAGCCCAGCUCUAAGCGUGCUGGGUGGUGUGGAACCCUCUCUCGUGGACUGUGGGCUCGGUGGCUCCUUCCUUAACCACCCAGGCUUCCGGGUGUAGUGCGGGUGAGGACCUUCCUUGGGGUGGGUCUCUGUCACGCAGGCUUGCUGCUGAACCUCGGAAACGCACUCUGCACCUUACAGAGACCUGGGCUGGUCACAAGGUCAGCCAGGGGCAGGUGUGUCUACAAGGACAGAGGAAGCAGGCUCCUUCCCAAGCUCCAGCUAGCUGUUGCUAGAGAGAGUGUCUCAGUUUGGGAGGGCAUGGGGAGGUUGAGCAGAUGCACCUGCUGCCCUGGUCUUUGGUCUUCCAGAAUCUGAGAGGUUGCAGCACCCACCAGCCUUUCUGCUCUGGGGGCGGGGGGGCUGCCGUGUAGAUUAAUUGUCUUUUGCUUUUGCACCAAAAGCAGCUGCAGUAAAACCCCCAGCCUGUCAUCACUGGAAACCAAACCCUUCAUUCUGCCUGGAUUUUUGGAAAUAGGUCUAUAAUAUGACGUGAUUUCUCCAAUUUUUAAAAAAAUCUACAUUAAUAAAAACAAAUAUAGCAAAAUUUCCCUGGAAUCACAUUUUAUAAAGAAAUCGGUGCCAGUGCUUAGUCUUACAUGCUUGCCCCAUGGAUAGAUUGAAUCGUAUUCUGAUUCGCCCUUCACACUGCACAGCACGUGAUCUCCCUGGGGCUAACCCAGGCCCCAGGCAGACGCUGUCCUCAGGGCGGCUGGACCGCACUGCCGAGUGCACACCGCCUCGGCCAGAAGUCACUACAAGGUGAACUUUAAAUAAAAAAGGACAGAGGUACUUUGUUGUGCAAAAACACAUUACACAUUUUUUUUUUUUUGACAGAGAGAGUCGCAGCGAGAGAGGGAACAAGCAGGGGGAGUGGGAGAGGGAGAAGCAGGCUUCCCGCCGAGCAGGGAGCCCGACGCGGGACUCGAUCCCGGGACCCUGGGAUCAGGACCUGAGCCAAAGGCAGACUCUUAACCGACUGAGCCAUCCAGGUGCCCCUACACAAUGUUUUGAUAAGUCUUUUAUUUCUAUUUCUGACGGUUUUUGCCAUCCUUCCCCGCGGUCGCCUUCGGGGGCGAGGUUUGCCACAUCCUGUCCCUCCCCAGGCGUUUAACUCCCAAAUAAAGCAGGUACAGUAAGCGGCUGCCUUGGACGCGGCACCGGUUCCUCACGCUGGAGCCAAAGAGGAAUUCUUCCAAGCCGGCCGUUGAAGCGCCUGGGGCCCGUCAGAGAAAAGCGGCGGGGACGGGCUGUGCUCCCCGUCGCGCCCAGCAGGCGGUGCUGUCGGCCAAGGAAAACGGCGCAUUCCCGGACAAGUGCUCAGAAGAGGUCUGGGCAGGUGUCCAGCCCCACCGAGGCCCGGGCUCCCGUCGGGGCGCUCAGGGGUGAGGCUCACGGGCGAUGGACAUGCCCAGCGAGGAUGGGGCCCGGCUCCCGCCGCGGGAAGCGGUCAGAUGCUCCCAAACAGCCACCGCACAGUUGGGAGUCCGGGUUUGGGGUGGAGAUGCCGGCAGUUGGUUCCAUGGUAGUGGCAGGUGGAUCCGCGAGGAGCCACGGGGACGGCGUUUCCCCCCCUCCUUGAAUUUAAUUUGCCAUGUGACGCAGAGCAGGUCCCUGCCCGCACCCGGGAGUCGGCUGCCCCCUGAAAAAUGAAGGGGCUGCCCGAAGUGACCUUGGGGGGGGACGUCCAGGGCUAACGUCCGUGAGGCUCAUUAUCCCAAGGACGCCAUCAGUUUUCAUGGUCAUCCUCCUGGGAACAGCCCCAGGGAAGGAAGGGAAGCGAGCCGGGCACAGCGGACACAGGGGGGCCUGGAAAGGGAGCUGACGGACCCCUGGAUACUUGGUCCAAGUGCUUAGACCACCACCAAACCAUUGCCAGUCCUGACAGCAGGUCAUCCAGAGUUAUGCUCGCCAAGUAACCGAUACCCCAAAGCAAUCUGAUUUCACGGAGAGUAAGGAUUCCCUACAAGUGACAAGACGGUGUGAGCACAUUAAGGCCCAGCUGAGGGUCAUUGGGAUCGUGACCCGUGGAUACUUAAUUAUCUCGGGACUACUCCUUCCGGCUAAGUAGCUGUUCAUCAUACUGCUUAUGGGGCAAACACCAAGCACACGGGAACCACGACACUAAAGACAGGAUCCCAGAGCAGAGUCAGCACAGGAACCCCUAGCCGGGGGCCGCGUCCCGGCCGCUGAUGCUAGCAGGAGGCUGAGGGGCCGCGGGGGAAGACUGACCUUCAGUGCGUCCCCAUUCCCGACUUCUUACGGAAAUCCUGCGGAGUCCCAGGGUGUCCCAGGCCCAGGAGCACAGGCUGCACGGUGUUUGCGGGCUCACUAUCGCCCCUAACGUCCAGGGGGACGUGGGCUCCGCACGGUGAGCUCUCCCAGGGUGCCUCUGAUGGCGGUUUAAUCAUUGUCGUUAAUGUUAAACCGAACAGUAGUAAGAAUCUGGGACCCGCCCCCGUGAGGAACACAGAGUAUUUGUAGGUUAUGAGCAGGAAGACCUGUUUCUCAAACAUUCACCAAUUUCCUCGCCAGGUCCUCCCUCCUGUGUGUCAGGAAGAGCUGCUUGGACUAACCUGGUCUCUCUGUCACGAGCUAUGCUCCAUGUUCCAGGGCAGGGAGUUCCUGUCCCGAGACCGACCGUCCGCUCCCAGGAAUCAGCCCACAGCUGCACCUGCUCACGCCCGGCCUCCAAGCACACCACUGUGGUUCCUACUGGCAGAGAAGGAUUUGGGAUCCACAGGCCGGGUCCUGUGGGAGAGAAGUGACUCUGAGCGCGCGGACAGACGGGACACCCGCCGGGGCCCCUGGGUCUCAGUCAGCUACUCGUGCCCGGGGACACGUGCGUCUCAGGGUGGCUGGAAGGGGCCUCGCGUGUGCAUUCCAGCAGGGGUUUGGGGUCCCGCGUGGGUGCGAACGCGGAUCCUGCUGUGGCGGGACGCCUCGGGGGACAGGGCCAGCCAGCUCCGCGCGUCCCGGUGACCGCCUACGUCUCGGAUGGGCGCGGGCACGCACUGACUUUAGUGCCCCAUCUCGGUGGUCAUGCAGACAAAGUAAAAGUAGUAACACGCAAGUCUAGACUGGUUGUCUCCACACUACUUGUGAUGAUUCCAUUUUUUUAAAAAAGUGCAUUCUAGAAGUGAACACUUUCAGCCUCUGGCUGUCUUCUUCGGCCGAGACUUGGGGUAACACUGAGGCGAAUGCCUGCCCUCGGCUGUCAGUUUCGAAACCAGUUUGUACAAACGGCAAGCACUGUCAUGAUCUCGCUCUGGCUUACUCGUUCUGAUUUGUCUACACUUUUUAAAAGGUAGGUUAAAAUUUUCACAGCUCAUCCUCUUGUAUAAACCCAGUUUGCAUGAGCAGUAAACACACAGCAGGCCCGUGCACAGCGGGACAGGACCGGCGGGGGUCACCGCACGAGGGACAGGACCAGGGUCUCCGUGAUGGCCUCCUGGUCUGAAUGGGCCUGCGUGACGUGUGGCGACCCUGCGUUCACCCAGGCGUGCACCCACCUGCCCUGCGCCCGGUGUGGGGGCACCAGGCUGUGGCACACUCGUGUCCCGGCGUGCUCCAUGGCCCGGCUGGCAGGUCCCUCUUCCAUCUGCCUCCGCGAUGGGCAGUGAGGCUUUACGGCCCGUGAGCGUCCUGUGGACAAGCACACAUCUGGUUAGGGUGGUCACGACUCAGGAGAACCCCCCAGAGCCCAUCACACACAAUGUCACGUUGCCACUGUGAUUGGAGGGGGGCCGGAACGCCGGUGCCUCCCCGAUCCAUCAGGCGAGGAGCCCGGGGCCCCAGUUACCGCGAAGAGAAGAGAGCGUUAAGGUGCAGCGUGGCCUGCACUGUUCUGCGGAGCCGGUCCAGCGCCAGGAACCCCCGCCACAGGCCACGAAUCGCCCUGCCCAGAGAUCGUCCCCAGCCCCAGUCCUGCCAAACUCAUCUGAUCCACUUCUGAUUCCUGCAGAAAUGCAUUCGGAAAAUCACAAUCCCAGGAGAGAGACUGAACUGUGGGCAGGCUCCCCACUCCCUUUUUCUCUGUUGUUUUCCAGGCUCACUGCAGACACUUUGCAUCUGGACGUAGGUUUCCUGAUCCACGAACGUCUCAGAAGCACGUUGUGCUCCUGUCCUGCUGGGGCCGGUCCUGGUUGCAUCUCCUCCUCGUCAGACCCUCACAAUGCUGGGGGUCCCCAGGGUGUGAACAGCACCCUCCCGGAUGACCAGCAGGCCCAGGGGAGUCACAGGGAAAUUAGGGAAUGUCACGGGAGGAAUGGACGUGGACAGGACGCACUGGGACCCACGGGCACAGAGAACACCACACGCAGUGGGGACGAUCCAGCAGUAUGUGUCUAUGCGGAAAAGAAGACAGACCUCGGGUAAGCCAGGUAACUGCAGCUGGCGGAGGGGCAGAAAGGACCAGCCAGAGUUGCAGAAGGAAGGACAGGGAGACCAGAGCAGAGACGUCUCGGGCACGGUUCAACCUCCCGCCUCACCCCCACCUCCGCCCCUGCCCGUGGCCGUGAGCGGGUGACACCGAGCUCUUCUGGGGGUCAGUGGCCCAUGGGAGUGGGAGUGGGCACGUCCGCCACUGAUCCAGGACAGCGGCGCCGGGCACGUGGCCACCAUUUUCCCGGAAGCACAACAGGCUGGAGGUGCUUUGGAUGAAGCCACGCGGCCCCGCGGCAAAGGGCUGGGUGGGAAGCAGGUGCCCAGACGCUAGGGCAUUUGUGGGUUGUGGAUGCGGAGUCACUGGUGUGGACACAGCAGGGAGGGUGACCCGGGUGAGCACCCACUAAUGGGCUGUCCCGUGAGAGCCACCGCAGAGGGCAUUCCUCGGGUCAGCCCACAAGGGGCAAAGCCCCCUCCGACGGCACCCUGUGCCCUCCCAUCCUAGAGGACAAACCCCCCUUUCCAAGCUUCCCUCUCUCCCCAGGAGGACCAAACACCAGGAAGUUUCAAGCUCUCAACCAAAGCAGUUUCAAAUACAAGAGGAAAGGCCUUUUGUUGUGGGGAGGGGAGCAGAUCCCAGGGCCACUCGUGGAGAGGGCACUUCUGGGCGUGGCGGCAGGGCUGCGCUCUCCGGGGGCUUAGGUGCUGUCUGUCUGGUCCCCACAGAGGCCGCGGGCCCCCAGCCCUUUGCGAGUCAAUACCUGCCUGUUCAUGCGGCUCUGACCAUCUCUGCGGCCCAAUGGUCUGCUCGCCACGUCCUGACCAGCAAACAAAGCGGUGCUUGGUGGCGUGUAUUAAGGCUCCAGAGUCAAGAAUCCAGUGUGGUGGACACUUUCCUCCCAAAUUUCCUGGAAAUGUAUCAUUUGACGAGUGGCUGUCAAUCUUAAAUCUGUUUUCCUUGUGUGGCGUCUGGAUGCACCUUUGCAUAACGAUAAGGGGACCGAUGUCUAACGGAGACAUUUACAACCACGUGAAUACUAAGUUGUGGUCCCAUCAGUUCUUCACAGUGUGGACAUUCAGUCCACGGGAUUGCAGCAACCAGCCCGUCCGGGGGUGUGUGCCCACGGCCUGUCUCGUUUCUACCGCUUUGUUCGUUUGGUGACCGGCUAUGAGUUUUAAUUACUGCCAAUGUCUAAGCUUCUAAGACCAGGUGAUCCUUAGAACUAUUUCCUGCCACCAGCCCCACCUAAAACCAGAGACGCUGUUUAAACGUUAGUUGACAUAAUGUCUCCAACAGGUCAGCAGUGGUGCCUUGAAGAGGAUGUAGGUGAUGACCGGUCAGUGUUCAUCAGAAUGACAGCCUGAGGGCGCCUGGGUGGCUCCGUCGUUAAGUGUCUGCCUUCGGCUCAGGUCGUGAUCCCAGGGUCCUGGGAUCGAGCCCCGCAUCGGGCUCCCUGCUCUGCAGGAGGCCUGCUUCUCCCUCUCCCACUCCCCCGGCUUGUGUUCCCUCUCUCGCUGUGGGUCUCUGUCAAAUAAAUAAAAACUUAAAAAAAAAAAAAAAAAAAAGAAUGACAGCCUGACAGUUUUGGCCCUGAUGGCUCUGAUGGGGACAGCCCAAACGGUGACGGUCCUGAUGGUGAUGGUCCUCACGGUGACGGCCUUCACAGUGACGGUCCUCACGUUGGUGGUCUUCAUAGUGAUGGCCCUGACGGUGAUGGUCCUGAUGGUGACAGUCUUCACAGUGACUGUCCUCACGUUGGUGGUCUUCACGGUGACUGUCCUCAUGGUGACGGCCCUGACGGUGACGGUCCUGACGGUGACGGUCCUCACGUUGGUGGUCUUCACGGUGACUGUCCUCAUGGUGACGGCCCUGACGGUGUGAUCACACUUGGUGCCAAAGCAAACUGGGAGGAGGUGGGGGGGUGCGGUGCCCACGGCC